UUUGUUAUGUGAAACUGUCACUCAGACGAAAGUCCGGGCUGGACUUUCGCUACUAUUUAUGCUACAGCUAGAGAAAAAAGUGUUAGCUCUUUCCCAUUUCCUUUACCUGAAUCAUCAACAUCACCUAAGAUUCAGAUCAAACCCAGACCAAGACAAGGUGGCAACAAUUCUCUCUCCUCCUUUCCCCAAAAGGCAGCUGUCACAAUCACAAAAUUCAAUGAAUCUGAUUAAUUUGAUGUCAACAAUUAGGGCCUGGCCCAGGCCCUAAGCUCUCGAAGACUCUUUCCUUUUUCAAGAAUUAGAUUUGCAGAUAACAUGCAGUUGAACAGCCUUUGCGACUGUAGUACUUGUACUUGGUGCUGGAAACCAUCGUAACGACUCUACUCCAAGAUUUGCACCAGAAAUUUCAAGCGGCUCAACUUGAUUUGGAGGAAAUCAAUAAUAAUGAAGCUUUACUCGAAUUUCCGGUGACUGUCGUCCCAACACUUCCAGCUCUUAUUCAACUCAUUGAGCCUUACUACCAGCUGUGUGCACGUUGCCCACAAU